UAGACCGCCUGGGGAGUACGGCCGCAAGGUUAAAACUCAAAUGAAUUGACGGGGGCCCGCACAAGCGGUGGAGCAUGUGGUUUAAUUCGAUGCAACGCGAAGAACCUUACCUGGUCUUGACAUCCACGGAAGUUUUCAGAGAUGAGAAUGUGCCUUCGGGAACCGUGAGACAGGUGCUGCAUGGCUGUCGUCAGCUCGUGUUGUGAAAUGUUGGGUUAAGUCCCGCAACGAGCGCAACCCUUAUCCUUUGUUGCCAGCGAUUCGGUCGGGAACUCAAAGGAGACUGCCAGUGAUAAACUGGAGGAAGGUGGGGAUGACGUCAAGUCAUCAUGGCCCUUACGACCAGGGCUACACACGUGCUACAAUGGCGCAUACAAAGAGAAGCGACCU
rnacentral:rRNA from 2 species